GGAUUUGGAAAACUUUUUUUUUGUCAAGGACCAGAUAGUAAAUAUUUUAGACUUUAUGAGUCAGACAGUUGCUGUUGCAAUUAUACAAUUCCACUGUGGUAGCUUGAAAGCAGACCUAGACAAUGUAUGAAUGAGUAUUGCUAUGUUCUGAUAAAACUGUAUUUGCACAGAUAGGUGUCACGGGCUGUAGUCUGCUGAUACCUGCUCUAGAUCAGCCACCUCUAAUGUGGAAUGUAUGUACCUAGAGAAAAAUCCAAGAUGGGCUACAAAAAAGUAGUGGAACUUUAUAUUAUUGACUUAUUUUAAUAUUUCUCCUUGUU
rnacentral:lncRNA from 1 species